rnacentral:rRNA from 1 species
AGAGUUUGAUCAUGGCUCAGGGUGAACGCUGGCGGCGUGGAUAGGGCAUGCAAGUCAAGGGGGCUCUUCGGAGCAACCGGCAGACGAGGUCAGUAACACGUAAGAACGUACCCCAUAGUCUGGCAUAGCUCGUCGAAAGACGGGGUAAUUCCAGAUGGUCUGGCAACAGUAAAGAUUUAUCGCUAUGGGAGCGGCUUGCGCAGUAUCAGCUUGUUGGUAGGGUAACGGCCUACCAAGGCUACGACGCUUAGGGGAGCUGAGAGGCUGAACCCCACCGAGGGAACUGAGACACGGUCCCUACUCCUACGGGAGGCUGCAGUCGAGAAUAUUUGACAAUGGGCGAAAGCCUGAUCGAGCGACGCCGCGUGGUGGACGAAGUGCUUCGGCACGUAAACACCUUUUGUGUGGGACGAAAUUAUUGACGGUACCACACGAAUAAGGGGCUCCUAACUCUGUGCCAGCAGGAGCGGUAAUACAGAGGCCCCAAGCGUUACCCGGAAUCACUGGGCGUAAAGGGUGUCAAGGCGGUCCUGUUAGUCUUCCGUAAAAUCCGAGGAGCUCAACUUCCGGUCCGCGGGAGAAACGGCAGGUCUAGAGGGCGCGAGAGGUAGAGGGAACUCACGGUGUAGGGGUGAAAUCCGUUGAUAUCGUGGGGAGCACCAAAGGCGAAGGCACUCUACUGGCGCGUUCCUGACGCUCACACACGAAAGCCAGGGGAGCGAACGGGAUUAGAUACCCUAGUAGUCC